rnacentral:lncRNA from 1 species
UUGAGUAUAGUUAGGAUUCGGGGGGAAUAGAAAAGGCAAAAAUCCUAGAAGAGAGAGUGCAAGAGAUAUAAAGAAAAGAGGGUUUAUAAAGAGCGGGUGGAAAAAGUGCCAAUAACUCUCGUAUGAUCGGGACCAUGGAAAAAGUUCCAACAAAUCUCGUAUGAUCUCGACCAUUGGAUAUGUUGAUAAGGAAAUGAUUGGUUUAUGUCGAUCGUUCGAUUGAAGAUUGUAAGGGUUUGGAUUAAAAAGGAUGUGUGGUGUCUCUUUUGCAAAGACUUGUAGUGGUUGGAGAAGAAUAGGGAGUUACAGAGAUGGGGAAAGACGGAGGGACGCGGGGAGAAGAAGGGGAGAGGAAGGACACGGGAGUUGUAUAGAGAGAAAGAGAGGAUAUGGUGGCUGUGGAGAAGAAUGAGUUAUAGAGAGGAGAAAGACAGAGUGAUGCAGUGAGGAGAAGAGAAGACAGGGGACACGGGCGUUACAUAGAGAGAGAGAGGGUAAGCAAGCCAUCUAAAUGAGAAAAAAAAAACUCUCAAAGCAAGGACGUUGCGCUAGGUCAGAAAAAUUAUUGUGAAAUAAUAUAUGUUUAUAGAUAAUACAAAAAAAUAUAAUUAAAAUCACUUUUAAAUUAAA